AUUAAAACUAGUGAAUUUUUUUUGUCCUACUUAGGAGUUACUUGGUUUCAACCUGCUGACGGGUACUGGGGUUUUAAUUGCAAUUUGUUUGUGAUUCCUGGCAGAGGAAGUCUAAACCCUUGCUACUCCAGGCGUGGCCCUUGAACCAGCAGCCUCACAUAGAAGCCCAUUGGAAAUGCAGGUUCUCGGGCCCUGUCCCAACCUGCUGAAUCGGGAUCUUUGUUUUAGUAUUUUUCUCAGAUAGAAUUUGAGAGGCACUGAACCGUGUAGUUUGGGCGGUGGAAAAUUCUCUCAGCAUGUCAGCAAAGAGGUAAAGAGAGAAGGGCCAUUAUCUUUCUUCAAGGAAUACAUAUAUCUCCUGUGCAGGGGAGUGUGUGAUGAUGGCCAAAUGAACGGAAGGAUAGGAGGCCAGCAGAAGCCCAGAGCAAGACCAGGCAAGGAGAGAGUGGGCAUUUCUCAUUCCUGUCUGACCGGCUCUACUUUCUCACUUCCAGUCAUCUGCUCUUCCUUGGAGGACACACCUCCCCCAGGCCAGGUGGUCAGGGUGAGGUUAUCAGUCACAGUCCCCUUCCUACCAAGACUCAGUCCCAGGAAGGGCCACUGGAUUGUGUGAAGACUGUGAGCUGUGUCCACUGCAUUUCUCCAGCCCAUGCAACCCGGCAUCACGAGGAAGGGGGUAUGGGGUCCAAGCUGCCACAGUGAGACCCAGGAAAGGAAAGACGAACCUCUUUUCCAAGAAAGAAGUCACCUGAGUCAGAACCAUUGUUUCAUUCCAUGAUCUGAAGGAGACACCUGCACAAUAGCCAGGUGACGGCCCAGAAACCUCUGUUAACACCUGCUUGCCAGUGGUCCCGCCGUGGGGAGCAAGCCUGCCUCCCCUCACCAAGGCGGGAUUCAUGCUGCUGGUACAGUGUCCGGGGGACUCCCGCCCGGCCCUCCCAGCUGCCAGGAGGCGGUGCCCGCCCACGCCAGCUGCCAGGCUGGCCUCUCCGUGCUCCAGAGCCGCACAGCUCUGAACAGCGGCAGCAGGUGGGAGCCCCACCGGGGAACGCAAUGAAACUCACAGCCGUAAACGAGUUUAUUAUUGUUGUUAACUGGGGAAAUAAAUGUCUCAAGCA
rnacentral:lncRNA from 10 species